rnacentral:rRNA from 1 species
GACGAACCGUGCGAACGUUAUUCGGAAUCACUGGGCUUAAAGGGCGCGUAGGCGGGCUGUCAAGUCCGGGGUGAAAUCCCACGGCUCAACCGUGGAACUGCCUUAGAUACUGACGGCCUCGAGGAAGGUAGGGGCAUGCGGAACUGUAGGUGGAGCGGUGAAAUGCGUUGAUAUCUACAGGAACUCCGGUGGCGAAAGCGGCGUGCUGGACCUUUUCUGACGCUGAGGCGCGAAAGCUAGGGGAGCAAACGGG